AGCACACUCUACAGAUGUUACCAGUGGAGGGUGUCCAGAUUCUUGGCAUUUUAAACAAAGAAUUGGAAAAAAAUCUCACAAAUAAAGCAAUGAAAGAAAAGCACAGAUUUAUUGAAACGAAAGUACACUCCACAGAGCAGGAGUGGGCUUCAGCAAGUAGCUCAUGAGCACUGGUUACAGAAUUUUCUGCGAUUUAAAUACUCUCUAGAGAUUUCCCAUUGGUUACUUGUAAAUUACUAUGUAAAUUAAGUAGUGGCCCUCAAUCAGAGGCUGAAGUGAAAUUACAAAGUUAUACUCCUAUUUAGAUGAAGACUUGGCCCCGACCAGCCUGAUUGGUUGCAAGAGGGGACCAAUCAGAGGAAGUCAGUGUGAAUCGGCCUUAGGUUCCCUGCCUCCAGACCCUAUUCUCCUGACUCACAGAGAGAUCACACGAAGCAGGUAGACCCACAAGAAUCAUGAUGGCCAAGUCUCUCAGUCUGACCUACUGGUUAUGAACACAGCCUUUGUCAUUCCUGACCACAGCUUCAAUGUGGAGAGGAAACCUCUCUGAGCCAGCCAGUCAGCACCAAACAGACUAUGCCAGUGACCCAGAAGCA
rnacentral:lncRNA from 1 species